rnacentral:sRNA from 1 species
UAGGACAGGUACUGCACAGGGAGCGACAGUGCGAAGUUUCCCUACACCACCCUGUCCUUAGGCCUCAACACUGACCUGGAGGGGCCACCUCUAGA